UACGUAGGGUGCGAGCGUUGUCCGGAAUUAUUGGGCGUAAAGAGCUCGUAGGCGGUGUGUCACGUCGGCCGUGAAAACCUGCAGCUUAACUGUGGGCGUGCGGUCGAUACGGGCAUCACUGGAGUUCGGCAGGGGAGACUGGAAUUCCUGGUGUAGCGGUGAAAUGCGCAGAUAUCAGGAGGAACAGCCGGUGGCGAAGGCGGGUCUCUGGGCCGAUACUGACGCUGAGGAGCGAAAGCGUGGGGAGCAAACAGG
rnacentral:rRNA from 1 species